UCUCUUUUAUGUAUUUCCUGGGAUCGUUUCCCAAAACUACUUGGAUUCUUGUCUCCGGGUUGGCUUCUGGAGGACUCUAAAACCAUAACUGCUCUUAUCACUACAGCUGACUUCUUUGAAACCAUGAAAAUACUGCUUUAUUUGCAUUCGUCUUCUGCUAGUUAGAGUCUACCUUCAUAAAACCUAAAAUCCAACAAAAAAUUAAGACCAAAAUACAAAUAUUUCUCACAGUACCUCUCACAUAGAAGUUACUCAAUCUGUAUUUAGAGAGCAAAGAAUAAUGGGAGAUCAAAAGAUUACUCUGUGACUAUAAAAAUAGAGCGAGGACUAUUGAUUGGUUACUAAGAAUAUUUUACAAACUUUUAUGGUUUGACACACCCUUUUAAUGGUGGUAUGUCUACCUAAUAUAUCUGCACCUUCCCAAAAUCCCCUCCCCUCGAUGUCAGCAUCAGGACUCCCCUCCUCCUCUAGCUAGAUUUGAGAGACACUUGCCAUUAUCUCAUCAUUAUUUUAUCAUGUUAAUGUACUUGUGUAACCUUUUAUAUUUUCUAAAUAUGAAAAAUAUUUUACAGAGAUUACAUUUGACGCAGCUGCUUCCUGAAGACCUAGAGAUCACUUUAAUCUUACAAGCACAUUCUUCAGAUUGUCGUGUGGGUGGGUAACUUCCGCCAGACUUUUCUGGAGAUGGCUAAUCCAGCCGUGGGAUGUGGUUUCUUCUAACAGCCAGUCAGGAAAAUCUUGCUUCUCAAACUCCUGUCUUGACCCCUUCCUGAACUUUGCCUCCUGGAUCUUGAGGUCUGCCUUCUGUGGAAGAGAAAUACUAGAAUCAAUGAACUGUGAACUAGAGCCCUGGGAUUAUCAACAGCCAGCUGAAAUUUUGAGAGCCACCUUAUAGAAAGCCUAACAGCAAAGACUGGAGAGAGGCUUCCAGCCAACAGCCAGCAAGGAAUUGAAGCCCUCAGUCCAAUAGCAGUGAGGAAUUGAAUCCUGCCAACAGCCUCGUGGAUGGGUUGCUUGCUGCCUGAAUCUAACUCCUGCUACUACUGCAAAUACCACUGCCAUGAAUAUCCUCAGCAAGACCCCCUUCCAGACCUGCAUGAACAGUUGUGUGAAAUGUAUAUGCACAAAGGGACUGCAAGGGAAGACCCAGAGACUAGGGAAGAACUUGGAACAAUAAUCUCAGUUUCUUCAAUUCCUAAACUUGAGAGUAUUGCUGUUUUUAAAUGAAAGUAUUUUUUCCCCCUAAGCAUUUUGUUCUAAAGUUGAGCUGCCUUUGAGGGGAAAUAAAGAGACUACCAGAUUAAUGGGUUUUUUUCAAAUGGGAUGGUGGGGUAAGGAAUAAUCGGGGUGGUCUGUGGAACAACUUGGAGGAUUGGUGUUAUGUCUCAAGAAGAUAUUCAAGUAUGUUCCUCCUUUUUUACCCAGACCGACUGCUUCAUGCUGGGCUUCAGACAUGAGAGGCUAGGAGUAGGAGGCAUGCCUUGUUCAAAGUAACUCCUCCAGGGGACAGCAGCAUCUCUUCUGACUCUUUGCUUCCAUGUCUUGAGGAAGCAGCCUCCUGCCUAUGGCCAUCUGAGGAAGCCAUCUUGGAAGCAGACCCCUCAGCCCCAGUCAAGCCUUCAGAUGACUGAAGUCUCAGCUGACAUCUUGACUUUAAUUUAAAAAAAAAAAAAAAAAAAAAAAAACAAACAAACAAACAAAAAAAAACUCCAAGCCAGAACUACCCCCAACUGGAAUUUGAGAGCUGCUUUCAAAUCCUGACCCAUAGAAACUUAGAUAAUAAAUGUUUGUUGUUUUAAGCCACUCAUUUUUAGAGAAAUUUGUUAUGCAGCAAUAGCUAGCUAAUACAGAGAAUUAACCAGCCUCUCUUAAAUUACCACCACAAAAUCAACUACCUAUUUUAUUAAAAGGUAAAACCAGCUGCUGAAGAACGUUUUUCCUCUCAAGGCUUUGGCACUUAAGAUUCAACAGUAAGAAGGAUUGAAGAGUGAAGGCUUCCUGGCUACCCCGUGGCAUCCUGUGUUUGGUUUGAAGCGUGAUAAGCCUGGGUUGCUCUUCCAGUCCACCUUGUCUUAAAUGUGGGAAAUAGUCUACAGUUUGGAAGACACCAGAGAAAAAUGCUCCACAGCUCGCCCUGGUGACUCACUACAACUUAUGGGAAGAUGUGAGAUUAUUCUGUAUUCUAAUGUAUGUUAGAAGGCACACUCCACCCAAAGCCUUCCUGUGUGUUCCUCCCUGUGAGCUCACAUCCCGUUCACCAGCUGACUGGGAAGGGAAGUCAGGACCAGCCCUGACCCCAUCACACCAUCAUAACCUCGGGAUGGCAGGGCUGGAAGGCACCUCAGACGUCAUCCUUUGCAGACUCUUCAUUUUACAGUGAGAGGCAUGACGUGUCCACAGCUGGUUAGUGCCAAAGCCUGGGACAGGCUUCACAUUGUCCAGCUCUUAGUCAGAGCACUGUUGACAAUGUCUGCCUUCACUUGGAAUUCAGCACCUGCUUUCAGUAUAAACCCCUGCAUUUCACUAAAACUGAGCAGACUGCUGGUUUAAAAAAGAGAGGUCCAUCCAGCAGGGAUGAUGCUUUUCCUCGUUGAAAGAGGACAUUCACCUAAUGGGAGACCUGGAGUCAGAAUCUUUCUGAUGUGUGACUUGGCACAGUAACACAAUGCAGGAUGCUGGUGUGUUAAUAAAAAUAAAAAUUGCAUCGCCUACCUCAGAGUCGACAACAAUGUCAAGGAGUUAAUAGUCUUGGCAACACAGAGGCCACUGGACAGAGGCAUAACCUUGCGUGGCAGCUGCACGGGAAUUGGAUUUGGCUCAGGUGUUUCAGAUGACUAAGAACAAAGGGGACCACUCUUGGUAUAGAAGUUCAUCUCGUCGGGAGCAUCUGUGGUUCUUUUAUAAGCAAUGUACAUUCUACAAUAGAGGCAGACCCAGAAAUAAUUCAGAUAUUGGAGUUAGAAGAUCAGGAUUCUAAAAAAACCAAAAGAUCCUGCCUUACUAUGCACCUAUGGCCCUUCAAAGGCGAGAGUAGAAUCUGCUAUGAUUUAGAAGCAAGCAAUAAAAAGUACACAUCAGGUGAGUGGAUGCUAGCUAAGACCUUGGGCUUUGGGGUCAGACAGGCCUGGGUUUAAAUCCUGGCCCUGUCAUUCUGGGGAAACAUGUUUCUGCUUUCUCCUAUAUGAAAUAGAGGCAGUGGGUAUCCUGAACAUGUCACCUUUACUUGUCCAGCUUGUCAGUUAGGGUUUGGUUAGGGAAACAGAGCUGCUGUAAACAUUAUGGGAAUAAGGGAUUUUAUUCAGAAUUGGAGCCUGCACAGAUGUAGAAGGAGGCAUGAAGAGGGUAUUGGAGGAUUGCCCACUAUGCAGUCUGCAUCCUGAGUCUGUGGUGAGGCUGGACACGUUCAAGCUUACAGGAGAACUGGAGAAAGCAAGCAACACAGCGGUGGAAGUGAGACCACUGAAGCAGGGACAAGAGUGGAGGAGACAAACUGGACUCGGAACAAACUGGGAGCCUCUGCAUCCAUCCGUAACUGUCUGGCCGUGACAGUGGUUAGAGAGGAGUGGCUUCUGUGAAACUCUCACAAUCUCAAAUCUCCCACAAGUGCCUCUUUCAGCUAACUCUAAACUGGUACCAUAGAGGAAAUGGAUUCUGAAAACUUGGUCUCCAACCUUAGACAAAUUGAAUAAUUAAUAUGUCCUCUCCUGCUUCUUCUGUAACUGAAUUUGCAUUGGGAAGCAGGCCUGUCACUCUCAGACUUUGUGGUUUGAGUAGGGCUCACUUCAGCACCACCUUUUCCUCUUCUCAGCCCCACGGACUGGCAUGAGACUCAGGCCUGGCCAACUGAAUGUCACACACCUAUGACCAUCAGUUGGCUCAGAGAUGGACUCAGGACACCAUCACAGCCAAUGAAACCCUGUUAGGGAAAUUUGUCAGAACCAUACAAAGAAAUAGCUCCACUUUUCCAUAGAGAUGAGACAUAAGCCUGGACUAACUGGUGUCCAAUUUGCCAUCAAGAGAGCAUCUGAGAAGACAGAGGAAAACUGGGGAAAGCGAAGUCUAAGGAAGGUGAGUAAGGACAAGUCCAGUUGAUAUUACAUGAAUCACCUGGACCUGGAAAUCAAGGCAUUGCUGGAUUCAAGGCCAAGAAAAAUUGGAAGCUGGCUUGAAUCAGGUUCUAUCACUUGCAGUUGAAAAGGUCCAGACUAAUAUGAUAACAAAGGAGCAAGUAAGCAAGAUUCUGCCCUACAGUAAGUGCUCAAUGCAUGUCAGCUGGUAUUAUUAUUAUACAGACUUCUAUUUCUAGCCCUUUUAUUUCUACCACCUCUCUUCUGUGUUUUAUGUAAAGUGCAUAAGGAUUGUUCUGUUUGGAAACAUCAAACCAUAUAAAAUGACACCAGCAGGUCCCUUUCUGUCUGUCAGUGUCCACAAGCUCAACAACCAGGAUCAGCAGACAAAAACAGCUAAGCUGGAGUCAGUGUUUUUAUGAAGAAACAGGAAAAGAACUUACUUGGGAACUGUAGCUCAUCCUCCAAUAUUCUCCAUCCUAUCACUCUUUUCAUGACAGUUUCUUCUUGGCCCUGAAGUUGCCUUGUCAUGGCUCCCUGCCUCUGUCCUUUCUCUGUCUCACUUACAUCUUCCAAUGAGGAAUACAGCAAGACCUUUGGAUGAGGACCUCCAAAGGUCCUCAGUAUCCUUAGGACACUCGGUGCAGAACUAGAGGGACUGAGAGGAGGAGCUUUUGCAGGUUAAAUGACUAGUGAAUGGCCUUUCCUUAUAUUUCCAUUAGAAAUGGGAUUAGCUACACCUGAGAAGGAAUGACUUUGGAACAACUGAUCCCUAGCUUUCCAAAAUAUGAGAAAUUGAGAUGCAGGGAGUAGUAAGCACCUAGUUAAUGAGUCAAAGCAUAUUUAUAAAGUUCACAGGGUACAUAGCAUAUAGCAGCUGUUCUCUAUCUCAGUUGAGUUUUGACUAGGAAAUGGGCUUAGGAUAAAACACAUAGGCUUUUGAGUAAUCAUUUGUAAGAAAUUGUAGAUAGUGACCACAGUUUAAUAGCAUUAGAUAAAUUAUGAAAAGUCACUGAAAUACCUUCUCUGGAAAAUGUUAGAAGCUCAAGUACAAUGGCUUAGUUAAAGGCAGGUGGGGGAGAAACUUGAAGAAUGUGGUCCAGUACAAGAAUACCCCAUUUUUCCCCUAAGGCAAUGAAAAUGACAUGAAGUAAUCAUAGUUAUUUAUACAGGAACAAUUUAGGAGACUUAGAAUAUUCACUUCUUUUGCCUUCUAGCUGAGCAUCAAAAUUCUCUCUCUGUCUCUGCCUCUCUCUCUCUAUUUUCCACUUCUAGCUCCAACUAUUUUAAAUCCCUCCCCCAAUAGAACUCAUAACAAACAUAAAACAACAUUUGUUGUAUGUUUACAAUAGAUGUUCAAGCUAAUAUUUAUGUAGGCUUAGCCCUGGCAUUAAAUUAAGGUUUGGUUCACCAACAGGGUGCCUAGAGACUUCACCUCUAUUUCCAUGAGGGACUGAACAGCCUCUUGAGAAGGGACUCAUCAAAAUGGAAGAGUUGGCAAUAAGAAGUUUGGCUAAAUAACCAAGCACUGAAGUUGCAGAGGAGAAAGGAUUUGAAAGGCAGUACAGUGUCCAGGGGCAAGUUGGCAAUUUUUAGCAGGAGGUGAAGUGAUGCCAGCAGAGGUAACAGUGCUCAGAGGGACCAGUAGUCCCCAGGAGGAGCAGGGGAAUCCCCAGUGGAUCUGAUUUGUUCAAGAGCACAUGUGAGAUUAUCAGCUGGCGUUACAAUUUUGGAGUGGCAGUGAGAAGCAGUGAAUUUGAGGUCACUCAAUUUGCAGACCCCAAAGGGUGAAAUGUUGAGAAACAUGAGUUACACAUGUAUUUAACAGCUCUUGUGUAUUAUCACAAAUCCUAUUUCACCUCUCAUGCCCCCGAGGCUUUGGUGUCCAGUUCUCUGAAGACUUCAUCAAUCCUCAGCCAUAAAUCACCUGAGAGCAACUCACCUUGCUUCAUACUAUGAAGCUCCCUGAUGUCACAGCAUGGCAGGCCUGUGGCAACCCCUCAACACUUAUGCAUGAUCCCAAACAGCUAGAGGAUUAACACCUACGGUGUAACCCUUGACCAGCAGGAAAUGGAAAUUACUGUCUUUUUGUCCCCGCAGGUGAAUGGUUCUAAAAUGCAUUUUAUAAGCCUUCUGAAAUAGUCCCACAGGUCAAGCACCUACUUGCUCCAGUGGUGACCAACUCAAUGAUGCAUCCUUGGGUUGACUCUCCCUCCUUUCCAGUUCACUUUCCCCGCCCCUCACUCCUGCACCUCAGCAUCACAUUCCUGAAUAAACCACUCACACAUCUGUCUUAUUUCAGACUCUGUUUGGGGGAAUCCACAAUAAAAAUUUGUCAUUUUGAGUUAAACAUUGCUCUCACCUUGAAGACAUAUUUCCAUACCUAGAGAUUUCUGAAGUUCUCUCCCUUUUCCUAUCAUCUCCUUUGUGCUUUGUCUGACCUCCAUGUUACAGAGCCCCAUGAUAUUUAGAGCCAGUACUGCUAGGGAAGUAGUUCAGUUGUGUUUUAAAUGGUUCAGCAACUUGUAACAUCAACUGAGAACCAGAGGAAUACACUUGGAGGCCAAGAAAAAAAUGUUAGCUAAUAUGUACCAUACAGUAUGAUUCCUUGGGUAAGGGAAAGUAUAUGCAAGUGACAGAGGAAAAUUGAAAGUUGUAGCCCUUUUUUGGACUUUAGAUUUGGAAUUAAAGUUUCUCUUCUCUUGAAAGACCUUCUUUUUGUGGAUAAUGAUGAAUCUGAAGACCAGAACAGUGGGCCAAUUUGCCUUAGUUGAGAGUGGCAAAUAAAUGAAGAACUGAAGAACGUAUCUCUUUAACUAGUGCUCCUUUGUUGAGAAGAUACAAAACAAACAAUUGAAGGGUAUGGAUGAAGCCAUUGGCUUAUUCAUGUCUCUGUUGAUCAUAAUGAGAUUAAUAUAUAUAGGACAUUCACACAAAGAGGAUAUUGACUCGAUGGCUUACAGAUUAUUAGAGUUAGAAAUGUGACCUACUACUAAAGGAAGAAUGUUUCAGGUGUGGAUCUCUGAUUUAAAAAAUACACCACACUUGCCUCAGUGAAGCAAGUCAACUUAGGUGCUGAUACAAUGCCACUGCAGCUGUGCUGAGUUCAUGAAAUCAGAUCCCACUCUCUUCACCUACCCCUACCGUAUUCAUCCUACUUUCCGUCUGCUCUGCCCUUCCCAUUUGGUAACCUAGUCAUGAAACACCUGGCUCUGGGUCCUUCCUUCAGCAUCACUCCACGUUGUACUGCUGGCAUCGCUUUUCUUGGCACAGAACCUCUUAGGGCUGCUAUCCUAGGAGUAGGUGCUACUCAGGCUGGCUUAGUCCCAGGCUUCACUCACUUCUUGGCCCAUGGCCAGGAGGACCGGAAAGAACAAACUCUCUGCACAUCUCUGCAGGUGGCCACAGAGCCCCCAUCUGAGCCUUGCUGAUGGAGAAGAGCAUGCUGCAUCACAAGAUAACUGUGUGGCUCUGUUCAAAAACCUUGUUUAGAAGUUAUUAUUUCUUUUAUUGCAUUAGAAUUUGCCUCACUGUAGCUUUUGUGCUUCUGUCCUGGUUCAGCCUUAGAUAGCAGUGCAGCCUGGUCCAUGUGAAAGCUCUUGCAAUAGGCCUUUCUGCUAGUCAGGAGUUCUCAGACCCAUCCCUACUCUUCACUUUUCUCAAGACUAAUAUCAGACUCCUGGGCUCUUCAAGGUUUCCUCAUAUGAUAAAAGUUCUAAGCCCUCCAUUGUCCUAGUCACUGUCCUCUCUGUUCCAUCCCUGUCUGCCCUUCCAAGAUGCUGCACCUGGAGAUGAAUUUGUCCUUCCUGGGGCAAGUCACCAUGAGAUGAUUACUUUUGGAUCAUACUGAAUUUGUGGGUUAAAUAAACUCAUAGGUCUUUAUCUCAUGCACUAAAUCCAAAUUCGAUCUCUUGCCGUAAAUCAUUUUUUUGAAUAGCUGAACAAUAAGUAAAUAAUACACAAAUGAAAACUAAUCAAUAUUUGAACAUCCUCAGUAUUUUCAGCCCUAGUUUGAGCCAGACAUAGCUCAUCUUGUAUACUUCACUAAGGACACUUUAUACGAUCAAGCAAUUAAUAUUAUGAUGUCAUGUCUCGCAAGCCCCAUAGUGUCACUUCCAGUCUCUUCACCACAAAGAACGUUGAAGCCUUCGUAUUUUUUUGAAAAUCAUAUUUCUAGCUGCAGGAUGGGAUGUAAGAAAAGUUCAGAUUAGGAUUAUUCUAGGCUCCUGACUAUAACUAAAAUCCUGAUUUUUUAUGGAAAGGAAUGAGGAUCAUUCCUUCAAAUUAGAUUUUUGUGAUAAAAAGAAAAAAGUUGGUAAUCUAUUCAAAAUUGUAACAAAAAUAACUGCAUUUUUCUUUGGAAAAUAAUAGUUGAUUCCUUUUUGCUUUUUUUACUUAUGAAUUGGGGUGCAAUAGAGUUUAAUAAAAAUGAUGUGAAACACUCUUAUAAGGCUAAUUUAUCACAUUUGCUUCAAGGAAUUGUCCUUUCUAACAAAAUUGUGAAAUGGAACUGAACAGUAGCAUGAUGAGGCCUCUACCAGGAGGAGGUACAGAACAAGGCAGGAGGUCAGUGGUUAAAGGACUCCUUGCUUAUGCUCAAGAAAUGUGGACCUUAUUAGAGGUGACACAGUGAAAUCAGUCACCUGAUUUCGCAGGUGACUGUGGAGCAAGAAUGCAAAUCCACAAUAUUAGGAUGAAUGUGAGAGGAGAAGGGAAGGAGGCCAUGAGGGAAAAAAGGACAUCUAAUUGGGUCUGAAAGGAAGGGUAGAAUUUAAGUAAAGAGCACUGUGUACAUAUGGGAAUACCAUGUACUUUCUCAUGGAGAGAGGCCUUCUGACAGUCCUGCAUUGAUCCUGCUUCUUUGACCAUCCCUUGUUAGCCAGCAGGUCAUUUGGCCUCACUAGUUGCCUCAGUGCUGAGUGAUAGACUCAGCAGUCCCCAGCCUCUUUGGCACCAGGGACUGGUUUUGUGGAAGAUAAUUUUUCCAUGGAUCAGGGAGAGGAUGGUUUCAGGAGGAUUUAAGUGCAUUACAUUUACUGCGCACUUUAUUUCUAAUAUUAUUACAUUGUAAUCUAUAAUGAAAUAAUUAUACAAUUCACCAUAAUGUAGAAUCAGUGGGUGCCCUGAGCUUGUUUUCCUGCAACUAGAUGGUCCCAUCUGGGGGUGAUGGGAGACAGUGACAGAUCAUCAGGCAUUAGAUUCUCAUAAGGAAUGCACAACCUAGAUUCUUCACAUGUGCAGUUCACCAUGAGGUUCACGCUCCUAUGAGAAGCUAAUGCCUCCGCUUAAACGACACAGGAGAUGGAGCUCAGGUAGUAAUGAGUGAAAUGGGGAGCAGCUGUCAAUACAGAUGAAGCUUUGCUUGCUUGCUUGCCGCUCACCACCUGCUGUGCAGCCUGGUUCCUAACUGGUACUGGUCAGUGGCCUGUGGUUGGGAACUCCUGGUAGACUAACAACAGAACAAAGCCAAGUCUCAAGGAGAGACAGUUGUAUAGAUGCCUUCCUGCCCAUUCUCUGUUGUGGGGGCCAAAUCACACAAGACCUGCAUUUAAUUCUUUAUGGGCUUAGGCUGUGAAUUAAUGUAAAAUCUCAAGAAACCAAGAUGACAGGCCAGGGACUAAAGAGCAAAAGAAAGACCACAGCUAUGGUGGGCGAGGAGACAAAGUCAAUCCCACCGGGACAGAUGGUGAUGACCCUUAUCAGUUCUAUUCUGUCAUCUCAUAAAGGUAAAGACUUGUGUUCUUUUUCUUAGGACAGUCCAGAUGGUAUUGGCUGUGCUUAAAGAAAAUUCAGACAUGUGUGAGUGUGGCUGGAAUUGACAUUCAUGAGGUCUUCCGUUUUUAUUUGAAAGGGGCAGAGUAAGUAUUUGUGAACAUUGGAUGGUGAUGAAGAAAAGGAAAUGGUGUCUAGUAUCCUACCUGGCCUCAUGGACCAAGACUAGAAGGAUUAGAGGCAAAGUCGAAGGAAGCUGCCACCAUAAAGGGUUCUGUGAAUGCUGUUUGGCUGAAAUGUGUGACAAAGCACUGGGAAGGGUUUCAUUGCAUUAGCUCAGGCCAUAGCACGACCCUUAACCAACACCUUAAGGUGAUGGUCCCCUUGGCAUAAAUAUUGGUGUUAAAAUCGAGGUUAACCUUAGUGAUAGUAUGGUUAAGAGUCCCCUGCAUGACUUUGGAAGUUGAAGAUGCUGAUCAGGAGAACUAGAGCAGGAAAGAGAAAAUAUGACUGAGGCUAAGUGGUGACUUGGUAUUGACUGAUAGGUGAACACAGGAAUGAAUUUCAGCGAGAACCCCCAGUAACUGUCUGGGGAGUGGAGACUGUGUAUGAACAGGACAGAAAAAAAAGCAGAUUCGGGUAGUGUCCUGUCGUGUGUCUCUUUUACAGUCCUGAAAUGAAGGACUUUCAGUGUUUUCAUUGAGCACCAAUCAAUUCCCUCUUUACAAAAGACCAUAUUGGAACAGCAUCAAGGUUUAGGGAUAUUAAAGCAAUACAGUGACACUGGAAUGACCACUGAGAACCAGCGAACUUCUUCAGCCCUUAUAUCCUCAGGCACUCUGGAAGCCAUGAAUCUGGUUUUCUUGCUAAACUGUGUGUACUGCACAGAGUACAAUGGUAAAGGAACAAAUAUUGGCUCUAAAAUCUCUUGUAAAGGGAAGGGUGGUCAUCCCUUUAGAUGGCAAAUUGAGUUUCUGUAAUGGGGUUUGCUCUGAUGUUGCAUUUCCACUCAGGCAUCAAGACAUUCUGUUGUUUAAAGCCCUAGAUGGGUGAUAUUUCUUUCAUGUGCAAGGCCCGAAUGCUUCACUGAGCUCUCUCUUACCCACACACACUCAUUUAAACCUUGGUCAAAAUUAUCCUUUAGCAUCUGCAUCUUCUCAGAAGGCGGAAGGGUCAAUGGGGAUAAUCAGGAGAGAUGAGGUGCACUUUCAGAAGUUGGAGCUGAGAAGGUGAUGGAAGUAUCUGUAAAGUCGUUGAACAGCUGCACGAACUAUAGGGGAAGCAUUUCUGGAGGCAAAAGGGGAAUAGCCCUUUCCUCUUAAACCAAAGCGAGCACAGCUCCAAAGGCACUUAGAUGGAGAGUUCAUCGGAAUGUGAGCUCUAAGAGUGGCUGAGAAUCUGACAAAAACAGCCAUCUGCCAACCCAAAAUUAAAACUCCUCUGUUUAGCACCCAGUAGAGAAAGUCAACCAGAUUGACUUCGCAAACAAAGGACCUUAAAAGCAUCACCUAAGAAAGUGUGUCAGGAUCCACAGACAUCCAGAGCAUUCUCUAUGGUUCAUUACUUACAUUAUUCUUAUCUAUUUACACAUAAUGUUUAGAUGUAAAAUCCUUACAAUGAAAAGGGUGUAUAUGCUUUAAAAAAGGCACAACAGGGAUCUAGAACUAGAAAUACCAUUUGACCCAGCCAUCCCAUUACUGGGUAUAUACCCAAAUGAGUAUAAAUCAUGCUGCUAUAAAG
rnacentral:lncRNA from 10 species